CCCCGACCCCGUUUCGAUCAAAUUACGAGAAUGACCUGAUUUCAAAGUUUAAAUCAGUCUUGGACGAGAGGCUGCUAGAGAACAACCGGAGACUUACCAAUAUGUUCAUGGGAGAGUUUUCUCAAUCAUAUCGAUGUUCUCCAAAGCAAAAAACGGUCAGGACUCCGGUGACCGUACGAACACCAAAAGAAGAGGCACACACUCAGAGUGAUAAUGCUGUUGCCGAUUCAUUUAUCAAUUACGAUAAUGCCUACCACGUCUCUAUGAGCCCGAUGGUGAAUGAAGAUUUUAAUGAGGAUCCUGAAAU